rnacentral:tRNA from 1 species
GCCAGAGAGUGCUUGGGUAAAGCGCGUCCUUGGUAAGGACGAGACCCCGGAUUCAAAUUCCGGCCUAGGCU